GGUCGGUUAGCUCAGUUGGUUAGAGCGUGGUGCUAAUAACCAGUUUACGCCAAGGUCAAGGGUUCGACCCCCUUACGGAUCA